rnacentral:rRNA from 1 species
CAGGUUAAAACUCAAAUGAAUUGACGGGGGCCCGCACAAGCGGUGGAGCAUGUGGUUUAAUUCGAUGCAACGCGAAGAACCUUACCUACUCUUGACAUCCAGCGAAGCCUUUAGAAAUAGAGGUGUGCCUUUGGGAGCGCUGAGACAGGUGCUGCAUGGCUGUCGUCAGCUCGUGUUGUGAAAUGUUGGGUUAAGUCCCGCAACGAGCGCAACCCUUAUCCUUGUUUGCCAGCACAUAAUGGUGGGAACUCCAGGGAGACUGCCGGUGAUAAACCGGAGGAAGGUGGGGACGACGUCAAGUCAUCAUGGCCCUUACGAGUAGGGCUACACACGUGCUACAAUGGCAGAUACAGAGGGCAGCGAGACAGCGAUGUUUAGCGAAUCCCUUAAAGUUUGUCGUAGUCCGGAUUGGAGUCUGCAACUCGACUCCAUGAAGUCGGAAUCGCUAGUAAUCGUGGAUCAGAAUGCCACGGUGAAUACGUUCCCGGGCCUUGUACACACCGCCCGUCACACCAUGGGAGUGGGCUGCACCAGAAGUAGAUAGCUUAACCUUCGGGAGGGCGUUUACCACGGUGCGGUUCAUGACU